GAUGAACGCUGGCGGCGUGCCUAAUACAUGCGAGUCGAGCGAACAGACGAGGAGCUUGCUCCUCAGACAUUAGCGGCGGACGGGGGAGUAAAACGUGGAUAACCUACCUAUAAGACUGGGAUAACUCAGGGAAACAGGAGCUAAUACCGGAUAAUAUAUUUAAUCGCAUGGUUGAAUAGAGAAAGACGGUUGUGCUGUCACGUAUACAUGGAUCCACGCCGCAUUAUGUAUUUGGUAAGGUAACGGCUUACCAAGGGAACGAUGCGUAGCCGACCUGAGAGGUGGAUCGGCACAAUGGGAACGGGGACACGGCCCGAACUCCUACGGGAGCAAGCAGUAGGGAACCUUCCGCAAUGAGCGAAGGCCUAAGGGGGCAACGCCGCUUGAGUGAUGAAGGUCUUGGGAUCUUAAAACCCUGUUAUCAGGGAAGAAGAAAUGUGUAAGUAACUAUGCACGGAUUGACGGUACCUAAUCAGAAAGCCACGGCUAACUACGUG
rnacentral:rRNA from 1 species